rnacentral:misc_RNA from 1 species
CUUAUGGUUUGAGUGCCUUUUGUACAUUCAACUAAUGAUUACUUAGCUAUCUUUGUUUCUGUAUAGGAUUUUUGAGUUAUGAUUUUGGCUCAUGUUUUGUUGUCACUGUCAUCCCUUGUAGGUAUAAGGUAUAGAUACAAAUAUAGUUGUUGCUCAUCUCUGAUGUAACUUGAAUUGGAAAAUAAUGUUAUUUUGCCGCUGUAAUGAGAGAACCAUUGCCAAAGGAUUUUUUUUUGGGGUGUUUAUGUAAUUUUAGGGGGGUUCAACUUCUUACAUUGGUUUGGUGUAUAUCAAGAAAUCUAAUGUCCAAAUACUUUGAUACUCCUCCAAAUGCAGUCUAGUGUUCCUCUGCAGUGCAGUGA